GGGGUUAUUUAGUAGUAGUAGUGGCUUGGAGGCUAGGGAGGUUAUUUAGUAAUAGAGUGGCUUGGAGGCUAGGGAGAUUAUUUAGUAGUUGUGGCUUGGAGGCUAGGGAGGUUAUUUAGUAGUAGUGGCUUGGAGGCUAGGGAGGUUAUUUAGUAAUAGAGUGGCUUGGAGGCUAGGGAGAUUAUUUAGUAGUUGUGGCUUGGAGGCUAGGGAGGUUAUUUAGUAGUAGUGGCUUGGAGGUUGAGGAGGCUAGGGGGGAUAUUUAGUUGUAGUGGCUUGGAGGCUAGGGGGGUAUUUAGUUGUAGAGGCAUGUAGGCUUGGGGGGUUAUUUUGUUUAUUUUGGA